AUUAAAUAUGGGGUCUUUAGGGUAGGUUUUGGGGACUUUCCCCCACUUUUUUUGGGGUGUCAAUUUUUUUCAACACUUGUAGGUGUGUUUAGUGCGAGAAUAUGAAAAAAAAUUUUGAGCCUAAGAAAAAUUGAAUUUUUUGGGAAUUUUUUUAUUAAAUAUGGGGUCUUUAGGGUAGGUUUUGGGGACUUUCCCCCACUUUUUUUGGGGUGUCAAUUUUUUUCAACACUUGUAGGUGUGUUUAGUGCGAGAAUAUGAAAAAAAAUUUUGAGCCUAAGAAAAAUUAAAUUUUUUGGAAAUUUUUUAUUUAAGAUGGGGUCUUUAGGGUAGGUUUUGGGGACUUUCCCCCACUUUUUUUGGGGUGUCAAUUUUUUUCAACACUUGUAGGUGUGUUUAGUGCGAGAAUAUGAAAAAAAAUUUUGAGCCUAAGAAAAAUUGAAUUUUUUGGAAAUUUUUUAUUUAAGAUGGGGUCUUUAGGGUAGGUUUUGGGGACUUUCCCCCACUUUUUUUGGGGUGUCAAUUUUUUUCAACACUUGUAGGUGUGUUUAGUGCGAGAAUAUGAAAAAAAAUUUUGAGCCUAAGAAAAAUUGAAUUUUUUGGGAAUUUUUUUAUUAAAUAUGGGGUCUUUAGGGUAGGUUUUGGGGACUUUCCCCCACUUUUUUUGGGGUGUCAAUUUUUUUCAACACUUGUAGGUGUGUUUAGUGCGAGAAUAUGAAAAAAAAUUUUGAGCCUAAGAAAAAUUGAAUUUUUUGGGAAUUUUUUUAUUAAAUAUGGGGUCUUUAGGGUAGGUUUUGGGGACUUUCCCCCACUUUUUUUGGGGUGUCAAUUUUUUUCAACACUUGUAGGUGUGUUUAGUGCGAGAAUAUGAAAAAAAAUUUUGAGCCUAAGAAAAAUUGAAUUUUUUGGGAAUUUUUUUAUUAAAGAUGGGGUCUUUAGGGUAGGUUUUGGGGACUUUCCCCCACUUUUUUUGGGGUGUCAAUUUUUUUCAACACUUGUAGGUGUGUUUAGUGCGAGAAUAUGAAAAAAAAUUUUGAGCCUAAGAAAAAUUGAAUUUUUUGGGAAUUUUUUUAUUAAAGAUGGGGUCUUUAGGGUAGGUUUUGGGGACUUUCCCCCACUUUUUUUGGGGUGUCAAUUUUUUUCAACACUUGUAGGUGUGUUUAGUGCGAGAAUAUGAAAAAAAAUUUUGAGCCUAAGAAAAAUUGAAUUUUUUGGGAAUUUUUUUAUUAAAUAUGGG